CUGAUACUCCCUCCGUCCGGAAAUACCUGUCAUCAAAAUGAAUAAGAGAAGAUGUAUCUAGACGUAUUUUAGUUCUAGAUACAUUUUUUUUAUCCAUUUUGAUGACAAGUAUUUUCGGACGGAGGGAGUAUUUU
rfam:Triticum aestivum genome assembly, contig: Triticum_aestivum_CS42_TGACv1_scaffold_129785_2BL